ACAGAAGGCCUCGGGAACAUCCUCCACCCCUCGACUAAGCCGUCUAAAAAUAAAUGAGAAGAGAGUAGGAUGAGCAGGCGGAGAGGAUGGAAGGAUAAAAGAAGAAGGUUAAAGAGGGUGCAGUCUGAUGGACAAACUCCACCCCUCCAUUUCUGUCUGUAACCAUGUGUCUGACUAUGAUGAGCAUGGCAGCAUGUGCACUGUUGUCAUGGCUGGCGGGCAGGUUGUCCUGGACUAGAGGAGGAGAAGUUGAAAGAGGAGACGGAGGAGGACACCUGGACAGAAUG